GGGAGUUGAGAGGGUGAUUGCUCUUUUCUCUUGAUUUCUUCAUUUUAGUGGGUGGAUGAAGGGAGGAGGCUAGUCCUCAUCUUGUGAAGAUUAUGCAUUCAUGAUUUAGUUGUGUUUUGAUGUCUCAAUUCGUGCAAAAAUCUUUCAUUCCUGAGUGUUUUUCUUUUUCGGUAUUUUCGGAGCUAUUUUCGGGGAUUUUUCAUUCUUCGCGUUUGAUCUCAAAUCCCGUGAGAUUUGUUGGGGGGAAAUGUUGCUAGGAUCCUUGUGAGCAUCUUUGAUGUGAUCCCCCUCAAACCCCCACGGAUUCAGCUUGAAUUUGAAGUUUUCCCAAAACUCUCUCUCUUUUGUGCUCUUGACCGUAUUCUAUAGAAUCCAUAGUGAAGUUUUGGUCUUUUUGAGGAGAUCUUUUGAGAAAAGACUCACUAGGAUAUUGCGGAGCUAUGGUUAAAAUUUUGUGAAUUUUGGAGGGCAUUUGAUUAAAUUUUGAAGUGUUGACCUAAACUUUUCAGGCUGUUUUUUUGAGCUAUAGGAAGUUCCGACACUGUGUAGGAAGUUCCGAUGUGUUAUUUUUGAAAACCUGUGAGCCCUUUGUCGGUAGUGUUUCA
rnacentral:lncRNA from 1 species